rnacentral:lncRNA from 1 species
UCCGGGUGCACGCGGCGGGGAAGGCGGUGGUGGAACGACGGCUUGCCGUGGCAGCCUUGGAACCGCAGCCUCCAACAUGUGCCACAUACCAUCAAACCACAAGGACGGGGCUUGCCUGCUCCGUGAAAAUACUCCCAUCCGUGCUCCCCCGGUAAGUGACGCUCAUCCAACGAUCCCACGCUGCUGGCCUCCUUUCCGCUUAAAAAACCCAGCAAUUAAACAAAACCGGCGGCACCUUCCUCUUAAUUAAACGCAGGAAAAGAUCAGCCUCUCGUUUCAUUCCUCUCCUAUCCACUCACUUUCCCAAAGCAGUAGCUUCUCCGCGGCGCUCGUCAGCGAACUGCACACCAGACCUUGCGGCCACGGCGUCCCUCGGCCCUCGCGGCGCUCGUAGGCGAGCUGCGCGCCGUUCCUGAGGACGCAGCCUCCGUCGCCCGGCGCGGCGCUCGUCGUCGAGCUGCGCGCUGUUCCUGAGGCCGCAGCCUCCGCCGCCCUGCGCGGCGCUCGUCGGCGACCUGCGUGCCGUCCCACCUCGGCGGUCACCUUCGUGGCCCUGUUUGCCGCGUUCGCCGCUUGUCGUGGUAGAAGGUACGUCGUCCAAUUACUCAAGUAGAUGGCUGCUGUUCUUCUAAUUUCUCAACCAAAUGCUUCUUUUGUCCGUGUGAGGUGGGUGAGAUGCAAGCAACUAUGCUUUUGGACAAGAACUGUGCUUUUGGUCUAACUUGAUUAAGCUACGCAUGUCUAAAAUACUUACACCUUAAAUCUAUGCUUUUGAACAUCAAGUAUGCAUUGCUCUCACUUAAUUAAGUUGUGCAUUCGAUCGAUAUGCAUAGACUCCCCACAAAUCCAGUAAUAUAUUACAAGUUUUUAGGAAAGUAGCCCAAAAAAAAUGAGUCUCUGACAACGAUGACGGAUUAAGUUGGCUUCUGUUGUUUGAAGAAGACUUGAUUUUGACUUGUCAUUGUACCAAAGGAUGGCUGCAGUGAAGCAUUUGAUGUUGGGUGUCCUAUCAUCGUACCAAUGGACGACUGCAGCGAGGCAUUCGGAGCUGGGCGUCCUCUCAUCGUACCAACGGAUGGCUGCAGCGAGGCAUUCGGAGCUGGGCGUCCUCUCAUCGUACCAACGGAUGGCUGCAGCGAGGCAUUUGGAGCUGGGUGUCCUAUCAUCGUACCAAGAGACGGCAAUAGUGAGGCAUCCAGAGCUGAGUUGCAUUGUUCUGAAUAGGUAUAAACGUGAUUUGUCGGAACUCCCAAAUGACCCUGUGAGUUAGUGUCCAUAAAUCUUCAAAAAUCAAAAUGAUAGAACUGAAAUAUGAGUGUAGGUAGCUUAUACCAUGAAGCUAUUGUAAUGUUGCAAUUCAGCUGGCAAUCUUUGGUCUUGUCCAUACAUCGCCAUAGGAUUUAGGAUUGGGUUGUACUGUGGUAGAUAUGUAGGCAUUUGAUUCAUAAAAACCUCCGAAUGACCCUAUAAAAAAUGGUGAGAUAAAUCUUGUAUAACUUAAGUUUUUAUAUCAGAUCAAGUGUGAAUUUAUUUAUACCAUUGAGGUGCCAUGAGUUUGUAGUGCUACAGGAUUAUCUACUUUCCUUUUCCUCUUUGAUUUUGCUUUCUCUAAGCCACCAAUAGGUCUACUUGCUCCUUGAAUAGUCUUCUCCUUCAACUUGAAACCUUUUGGCUUAGCAAGCCCCUUAUUUUGUUUUGAACUUGUAGAUGAGUUAAUGUUUGGUUCUGCAAAUAUAUAUUUAAAUAAAAUUCAAGUUUGAUAACAUUAUAAAACUACACACCCACAUCAGCAGGUAUACUUGACCCUCGAACAGUCUUCUUUUUAACCUUGUUACCUGUUGGAUUGGCAAAUUCCUCAUUUUGUUCUGAACUUGUAGACGAGUUAAUGUUUGGGUCUGCAACUGUAAAAGCAAACAUAUUUUAGUUUGAUAAGAUCAUAAAACUAAACUUACAGACAUUGUGCCAAGCGAGUUACAUAUAUCUGGAUGUCUGUUUGAUCCUCGAGUUGUCUUCUCCUUCACCUUCAUUCUUUUUGGCUUAGUAGGCCUCUCAUUCUGUUCUGAACUUGUAGUCAUGAUAUUGUUUGAGUCUGCAACUAUAAAAGUAAAAUUUAAGCUUGAUAAGAGCAUAAAACUGAAUGUACAUACCUUAUGAACAAACAGAGUUACCUGUAUCUGGAUCAGAUCUAUGUUUUAGACAUUUCUCCACAUCUUCUGCUAAUUUCUCUGCAUAAUUAGCAGCAUCAAGUAUGACUCUUCAGACUCUGCGGCUCGAGCAGCUAUUUGGAUAAACAUUCUGCACAACUCUUUAUAGGGUUUUGUCAGUAUUGCUUUGCAGUCUUCAUGUAGGUUGCAAUUGCUUGUUAUAUCCAAAACUUUUGCAUCAAUUGUCCAUCUUUUCAAGAUGUACUGUUGAGGGAUAUGCUUGAUAUUAUUAGGGCCUCUUUGAUUCAUAGGAUUGCAAAAACACAGUAAUAGGAAAAACGGAGGAUUGGAAUGGCAUGUCCAUUGGAUCCCUGUAGGAUUUGAGUUUAUUUGAUUGUGUCAUGGGAAAAACAAAGGAUUUCUUCCAAGAGGUUGGAGUGGGUGUUAGAAUUCCUGUGAAAUGUAGUACAAAUGAAUCCUUAGGAAAAAAUCCUAUGGGAUUCAAUCCUAUGAAUCAAAUGACCAACGUAGGAAAAAUUCCUAAGGAUUUUAAUCCUUCAAAGAUCCUAUCAAAAACCUUUGAAUCAAAGAGACCCUUAAUGUCAAGUACAUUCAAGGAAUGAGAGCAAAGAAUUCCAGCAAAUUCAAACUUCUUGCAACUGCAAUUGACCUUUUCUUCUUUCGGAAAAAAUUUAACAACAUGAUCACGCUCUGUACCAUGAAAUUUUACUUUGUAAACCUUCUCCUCGGUGUCACUGUCGUCACAAAGGAAUGUAUCAUAGUUUAAGGUCCGAAGCACUUGUUCCUGAAACAUCUUGAAUAUUGGUGGAGUAUAUGUAGUUGAUGCUUGCCUUAACAUAUAGCUUUCUGCCUUCAGCUUAGGAGUACUUUGUGUUGCUUUGAAGUCACAUCUCACCUCUUCAAAUCUUUUAUCUGCAACUAGACGUUCGAAAUGCUCAAAAAAAGUAAGCAUGUCAUACUUAGAACUAAUGUAACGUUUUAGUUCGUUGUUCAUGCUUUCACUCCUUUGGGUACUGCUCAUGUGUGCAGAGAAAGUAUUCGUGCCAUACACUAGGGACUAAUGCUCCCUUUUCUCAAAUAACCUUUGGAGCCAUGCAUUGCCCCGGAGUUCAUACUUGUCAAGCAUUUCAUUCCAUGCACUUAUAAAUUCAUCUUCUUCCCCAAUAUCAUAGAUACAAUGCUGAAAAUCAGCAUUGAACUUCUUGUAAUCUGUAACAACUCCACUAAGAUGUUUGACAACAUUUUGAUUCAUAUGCCACACGCAAAGUCUAUGAUGAGAGUGAGGCAGGACUGAGCAGAUCGCCUUAGCCAUUGCUGCAUCUUCGUCAGUCAAAAUUGUAUGUGGAUGCUUUCCAGACAUUACUGUUAAAAAUGUUCUAAAAAGCCAAGAAAAACUUUCUGCUGUUUCAUCAUAGAGAAGUGCAGCACCAAACACAAUUGUUUUCUUGUGAUUAUUCACGCCAACAAUUAAACCAAACGGACGCCCAUCGUCUAGUUUCCUGUAUGUGGUGUCAAAGCAUAUGACAUCACCAAAUAAUGCAUAGUCUGACACUAUUUUGGAGUCCGCCAAAAUAUAUUAGUUAUCAAAUCAUCCUCAUCAACUUGAAUUGAAUAAAAAAACUUGACAUCUUCUGAAACCUUCUUCUCCAUAUAUUCUAACACUCCACCCGUGUCACCGACCUUUGCUUUUAGUGUUCUCUUUGAGUACAAACGAUUUUUCAUGUCAGUACUUAUAAAGCCAAGGUUUUCAGGUCCACAUGCUUCUUUCGUUAUUAGAUCAAUAGUUGCUUUAUUUGAAAUGCCCACUGACUAUGCGACCUUGGCAUUGGCUAGUUGAGCUUCAGUUACUUUCCUGUGUGAUCUUAAGUAUUGCGACAUGUUUCCAGUAGCAAAACUAUGGUUAUGGGCUUCUUUAAAUUCGUAUACAUAAUAAAUCCCAUUAUUAAGACUUAUCUUCAUACGUGCAUCACAACCACAUCGUGUCUCAGGCCUACUAUAACUGAAUUUCUCCUCUCUUUUAUCUUCCGUACGAACUCCUAUUAGUUGAAGUAAUUUUCUUAGUCGCAUCUAAAAAUCAUAUGACCAGAACAAGUUAGAACUAGUCCAUACCUUGAAGAGAACAUGUGAAUGUCCGUUGUUGUAUUGUGCUGGAAUUUUUCACUUUAUGAUGAUUGCCUCUUCGGAUGCUAAAACCCAAGGAAUAAGCAUACUUGUUAUAGAAGCCAUAUGCUUCUUCUUCAGAUAAAAACUGCAUGCCAAUCUUUGGCACCCUUUUUUCAAUUUGCUCUGUUGCAUUGCUAGCUGUAGUUUCUUCGACCCCCUAUUUAAAUUAGUACUCACUUUAGCAAUUGGUGAAAAUACAAGGAAAAGGAGAAGAAAACAUAUCUGUGUUGUAAAUCAGCGAUAACCUCGCUAUGACUAUUUAUUUCGCUGUCAUAGUGGAAUGGAAAGGAGAGGAAUCUGUGUUGUUUUCCCAUUCUGAACAAGCUGGUUAAUAAUUUCAAUCUUCUGACUAUGCAUUCUCAACUAAUCAGGGUAUGUCUUUGCCCCUCGAACCAUUACAUUUCUCUUAUAUGUCCAGCAUCAGUGUCAAUUUUUCCAUCAGUAAUACAACUUUGUAUUGUGCGAUCUGUGCAAGACAUGUUAGCUGGAUAUUGGCGCACUAGGAGUAAGAAAUAUAUGCAUCUACUAUCUAGUUUCAUUUUGCUAUGUGGUCCCACUGACAGCAAUCACAAAAACCUGAAAGUCUUAGAUCUGUUUCAUUGCAGGAUUGGGAGAAGACUGUUGGGUCAGAGAAAAAGGAAGAACGCAAUGGAAACAAGAUGGCUUACAUUUGGGGGAUUUGAUUCCUCAUUGGUUCCGGCAAGAAUUGGUGAAGAAGCCAUCAAGUUCCUCCAGCAAGUCCCUUUGUUGGAUCUGUGUUCGUAGAUAGAUUUGAUGAAGUGUAUAGUUUGGUUUGUUUCGUACUCUAUGUGCGGGAUAAGUUCACGGCCAAUGCUUUUGGCGGGCAAGACAUAUUUAUUUCCCUCCAAAUCUUUGUUCUGUUGCGUUAAUUACGUUUGCCUAGAGAAAGUCCGGAACGGCUGGUUUUAAUUAAGAGACGGACGGCCGCUUUUGUUUAAUUGCUGGGUUUUUAAGGGAAAAGGGGGCCAGCAACGGGGGUCGUUGGAUGAGCGCCACUUACCGGGGGAGCACGGAUGGG